CAGUAGCCACGGUAAUACGUAGGUGGCAAGCGUUGUCCGGAAUUAUUGGGCGUAAAGCGCGCGCAGGCGGUUUCUUAAGUCUGAUGUGAAAGCCCCCGGCUCAACCGGGGAGGGUCAUUGGAAACUGGGAAACUUGAGUGCAGAAGAGGAGAGUGGAAUUCCACGUGUAGCGGUGAAAUGCGUAGAGAUGUGGAGGAACACCAACGGAGAAAGCACUCUGCUGGGCCGACACUGACACUGAGAGACGAAAGCUAAGGGAGCAAAUGGGAUUAGAUACCCCCGUAGUCCCUGUCUCUUAUAC
rnacentral:rRNA from 1 species